AAACCCAUUAAUUUUAAUAUAAAAGCAUUAUUUAGGAUAAUUAUGAAUUUCCAAUUAAUUUUUUGUUAUUUUAUUUUUAUAUUUAGUACUUCUUCAGUAAAUUAGGAUUCUAGAAGGAUCUGAAAAUCACAUAAAUUAAUUUGGGGUUCAACGAAUCCCGAUGUUACAUUUCUCCGCCAGCGACCAACGAAUCCCAAACACUUUUUCUUCUGGUGAAGUGUUAAAAUUUGAUUUGUGUACUCAUCAGAUCUAUGUGCGUUUUGAAUUCCUCGCCCAUUUUCGGUUGUGGAUGGGUUUUUGGGGAAACAGAAGGUCAAUUUCAGUGAGGAGUGAGAUGGCUCUGUAAUUUCUUGAUCUUGAUAACAUGGAGGCCAGGCGCUGUGCUAGAGAGGGAAAUUAGCAUCAUUUUUGUAAUGGAGUUGUUGCAAUGGAUUACCUCGGUGGGCUUUCAGAAGGCCUUCCUUCAUGGUUACAUACCAAGCUUUGACUAGCGUGUUGAUGACGUCAUUGAGCAUUACUCAAAAUUUAAAGACUGCCUAUGUUGUCAUCUCUUACAAACAUGAACCCGUUUACAGACUGUCCUGGAGUUGCUGAAUGCCACAAAAGAGAUAGAGGGACUACUAGAAUAGCACCGCCUUAGUUACGAAGAGACUCAUAACAAUAGAGAGAAAAGAAGAAAAAUGGAGAAGGCAAAGUAAAGGAAAAAAAAGAGAAGAUUAUUGUGUGCUUUGAUGGAGUGAUGAACGGAGUGAUAUAUAGUGAGGGAAGCUAUCAUGCAUGACUUAGCACAUGAUCGACACUAUUAGAAAGUUUUGGUAUUUUGCUAGUUAAGAGGUUGAAGUUGCAUGCAUGCAUAAACAUGUGGCAUCAAUGAAGGUUCAAGAAUCAAGGACCCACAACAAUAGAGAGGAGAAGAAGAAACAUGGAGAAAGCGAAGUAAAGGAAGAAAAAGAGAAAAUCAGUAUGUGCUUUGAUGGAGUGAUGAAGCGAGUGAUAUAUAGUGAGGGAAGCUAGCAUGCAUGGCUUAGCACAUAAUUCACACUAGUAGAAAGGUGACUUCUUCUCCCACUGUAUUAAAAUGUGAUUAUAUGUAAAUGUUACAAGAAUCAAACAUUAUGUUCUAAAUUUAAUGGAGAGUUGUCUAUAAAAUAGUACUACUUUUAAACAGUAACAAAGUGUAGAUAAUUAAAUUUACUAUUAUUAGUAUUAUAUAUUAAAUCUUCAAUAUAUUAGAUACUUUGAUAA